GGCCUGGUGGUAUAAUGGUCAGCACGCCUGCUUAAUUUAAUAUUGUAAAGAGAAUUGUUGCAGGAGAUCCUUGUUCGAAUCAAGGCCAGGCCA